rnacentral:lncRNA from 1 species
GGUGACAUAACAAUUGUCACUGUACUUGGAAUGUUGUAGCUACAGGCAAAGUACAAUAUGAGACAAUAGCUCCUGGGUCUAGGAGAUUGUAUAGUUGAUGCAAGAAAACACAUAAGGUACCUGUGAUGACGGGUGGGAUGUCUGUGAAUCUUGUGGAGUCGGUAGGCUGUAUAUACGAUUUGUGUUGGCAGUUGAAGCAAUCGCUCUAAGGUGACGGUAAUGAAGAUGAUGCUGCAUACGGUGCAGGCCGUUGUAUAUCACUGGUAUCUGAAAUUGUAUACAUUAUGAGAAAAAGCACAUAACGUACCUGUGAGAACGUGUGGGAUGUGUGUCAAUCUUGUGGACUGGCUAGCCGGUAUAUACGGUUUGCGUGAGGAGUGGAAGCAAUCCCUCUAAGGUGGUCAUAAUGAAGAGUCAGAUGCACAGCCUGCACACUGUUCUGUAUCAGCGUUAUUUCUAUGUUUUAGCUGUGGGCAAUCUCCUGUGAAAUAGAGUUACUAUUUAGGAAUAUUGAAUUUGAACAAUUGCAAUAGGAAAUAAGUUAGAACAACAUAUGGAACAAACGAAAGGACUCAUGAAUUAAAUUAUAUGAAAGAUUAAUUUGAUUGGCCAUUAAAUCACUUUUGCUUUUGUAUAAGCAGGUGUAUUGCGCUUAUUUCUUAGCAAAGCAGCUGUAGAGGCAAAUGUUGUAUUCUUCCUCUUCCUACCACUGAUUUCUUUCUAAUUUUUACCUGUACAUUUCAUUUGCAUUUGCAGAACAAAUUACAUACAUUUUUUGAUGUGAUAAUGAGGCAAACACAAGCUUUAAAGUCAUGAAGAUAUAGACUUCAUCAAAAGCUCUUCUCGCAAUUGUUAAAAUUUUGUAUCUCAAUAUCUUAUUGUGAUUAGAGUUUGUUAUUUUUGGUGAGUUCUAUGAUCCUUUGUGAAAAAUAGGAGUAAUAAACAAAUAUAUGGAGAAAAAUAUCCAAUAAAUUGGUUCAUGUGAGAAAGCAUAUAAGGUACCUGUGAGCAAGUGAGGGAUGCCUGGGAAUGUUGUCGACUGGGUAGCUCCUAUAUACAGUGUGCGUCAACAGUUGAAAGAAUCCCUCUAAGGUUGGGAUAACGAAGAGGCUGCUGCAGACUGUGCAGGGUGUUCUGUAUCAGUGGUAUUUGUAUGUUUGAGUUGGAGAGAAUUUCCUGCGAAACAAAGUGAGUAUUUAGGAAUAUUGAAUUGUGGCAAAGUGAAUAUGAAAUAAGCUACAACUACAUACGGAACACAAGAAAUGAAUGAGUAAUUAUAUUACAGGGAAUAUUUUCUUUCCUUUUGGCAAUGAAUUUGUGUGGACAAGUAUUGAGGGAAAUGAAAGCGAAGUCAUAUAAAACCUGUGAAUACCGAACACGUGAGGAUAGACCAUAUGUCAGAAAUGAGAAAACGUUUAAGCAGGAAAACUAAGGUUGAGAUGAAUGCGGGAAUAUCCAUGUAAGCCCAUUGAGACAAAGCGGGAAAAAAAGAUUUGCUGCAAAAAUUUGAUGAGUUUACGAACGGGCAAUAGGAUUAAAUCUAACAUUAACAUGAAAUAGAUUUACAGAGCUUCAGAUCGAAAAAGGGAAAAACCAUCACAAAAUAGAAGAGUUUGAAAGCGUAAACAAUAGCGGAAAGACAAAUGGAAAAAGCAUUGUAAGCAGAAUGUUUGAAGCAUUGAAAGGGUGUGGUUUGAUGGUGAACACAGUGUAAUAGACCAAUACAUGCAAUUAUUCAUCAGAAGUUUGCAGUACAUGCAUACAGUGUAAUAUGGCUUAAUAUAGUGUACAGGCGCGAAUUUAACAAUCAGAGAAAGAGCAAAACAGAACACAAAUUAGAAAUGGGAGAAACAGCAAAGGAUGGAAGAAACAUGUAAAUUUUACUUAAACCAUGAAGAAGUACCUACGCAGGUUGUCCGAGAGAAACAUAAAUCUUCAGGAAAGGUUGAGAGACAGAUUUAAAGGCUCUAUAGAAAUAGAAAACAGUAAAGAACAGAUGGAGUACCUGAGCAGGUCAUCCGACAGAAAGCGAAAUGUUGAAGAAACGUUCAGAGAGGAAUUUAUAGGCUGCAGACAAACCGAAAACAGUAAAGAACAGAUGGAUUCGCCAUUGAAGAGUUCAGAGGUAGAACUUAGAGUUCAGAGGGAGAGAAAUUAGGGUCGCUUAAACGAUGAAGAAGUACCUGCGCAGCUCGUAGGAGAGAAACAGAAAUCUUCAGCAAAGCUUCAGCGACAGAUUUAAAGUCUGUAGAGAAAGAGAAAACAGUAAAGAAGAGAUGGAGUGGACAUUGAAAUUCCGGUUAAACGACGAUGAAGAACCUGCC